rnacentral:rRNA from 1 species
GACGAACGCUGGCGGCGUGCUUAACACAUGCAAGUCGAGCGGUAAGGCCUUUCGGGGUACCCGAGCGGCGAACGGGUGAGUAACACGUGGGUGAUCUGCCCUGCACUUCGGGAUAAGCCUGGGAAACUGGGUCUAAUACCGGAUAUGACCUCCUAUCGCAUGGUGGGUGGUGGAAAGAUUUAUCGGUGCCGGAUGGGCCCGCGGCCUAUCAGCUUGUUGGUGGGGUAAUGGCAUACCAAGGCGACGAUGGGGAGCCGACCUGGGAGGGUGACCGGCCACACUGGGACUGAGAAACGGCCCAGAAUCCUACGGGAGGCAGCAGGGGGGAAUAUUGCACAAUGGGCGGAAGCCUGAUGCAGCGACGCCGCGUGAGGGAUGACGGCCUUCGGGUUGUAAACCUCUUUCAGCAGGGACGAAGCGCAAGUGACGGUAACUGCAGAAGAAGCACCGGCUAACUACGUG